rnacentral:lncRNA from 1 species
GUUUUAAAAUGUCCCCCAGGGGACCAGUUGUUAGAUUUAUUUCCUUGCACUAAGGCACUGUCUACAGAAAAGCAGUAUUAAAAUACAAACAUCUCUCUUGGCAGGGGUAGCAGUAUGUUAAUGCAAAGAGAGAAAUCACUAUACACUGGUAUUUAGCAAUUCCUACUGUGCUCAAGAAUAUGUUAAAGUAGACGUUUAGGGGGAAAAAUAAGACAUAACCCCUUUAAGAAAUAGAUUGUUGUAGAAAAGAAUAUUAACCAGAAACUGCUAUAUGAAGAAUAAGAUUAUAUAAAUGAGUGUUUAAACAUGAUCUCAUUUUUAUAAAUGAGAAAAUAUGAAAUGCCAGGCCAUCCUUCCUCCCUCUAAAAAUGAAAACAGCCUCCACAAUUAUCUGAGUGCUGUAAUAUGAUUUUUUAAUCUUUUUAUUACUUCUUUUUUUAAACAUUUUUAUGAACAUACAUUUCUAUAAUAAAAUAUCCAUAAAAGUUAUAAUGAUAUGUAUAUAUUCAUAUACUUUCCUGUAUGUGUCUUUUUGGGAAUCAGGUUUUUCCAUUUCUGGGUGUUUCUAGACUUAACUAAAGCACACUCUCAGUGGAGAUGAGCAUUUAAUGUGAAGAAUGAAUAAAUGGGAUUUGAGAGGGAGAAGGAUACAUUGUACAGAUACUUUCUCUCAUGAUGGCUAAACCAUAUGGCCUAAGGGA